GAUGAACGCUGGCGGCGUGCCUAAUACAUGCAAGUCGAGCGAACAGACAAGGAGCUUGCUCCUUUGACGUUAGCGGCGGACGGGUGAGUAACACGUGGGUAACCUACCUAUAAGACUGGGAUAACUUCGGGAAACCGGAGCUAAUACCGGAUAAUAUUUCGAACCGCAUGGUUCGAUAGUGAAAGAUGGUUUUGCUAUCACUUAUAGAUGGACCCGCGCCGUAUUAGCUAGCUGGUAGGGUAACGGUUUACCAAGGCGACGAUACGUAGCCGACCUGAGAGGGUGAUCGGCCACACUGGAACUGAGACACGGUCCAGACUCCUACGGGAGGCAGCAGUAGGGAAUCUUCCGCAAUGGGCGAAAGCCUGACGGAGCAACGCCGCGUGAGUGAUGAAGGUCUUCGGAUCGUAAAACUCUGUUAUUAGGGAAGAACAUACGUGUAAGUAACUAUGCACGUCUUGACGGUACCUAAUCAGAAAGCCACGGCUAACUACGUGCCAGCAGCCGCGGUAAUACGUAGGUGGCAAGCGUUAUCCGGAAUUAUUGGGCGUAAAGCGCGCGUAGGCGGGUUUUUAAGUCUGAUGUGAAAGCCCACGGCUCAACCGUGGAGGGUCAUUGGAAACUGGAAAACUUGAGUGCAGAAGAGGAAAGUGGAAUUCCAUGUGUAGCGGUGAAAUGCGCAGAGAUAUGGAGGAACACCAGUGGCGAAGGCGACUUUCUGGUCUGUAACUGACGCUGAUGUGCGAAAGCGUGGGGAUCAAACAGGAUUAGAUACCCUGGUAGUCCACGCCGUAAACGAUGAGUGCUAAGUGUUAGGGGGUUUCCGCCCCUUAGUGCUGCAGCUAACGCAUUAAGCACUCCGCCUGGGGAGUACGACCGCAAGGUUGAAACUCAAAGGAAUUGACGGGGACCCGCACAAGCGGUGGAGCAUGUGGUUUAAUUCGAAGCAACGCGAAGAACCUUACCAAAUCUUGACAUCCUUUGACAACUCUAGAGAUAGAGCCUUCCCCUUCGGGGGACAAAGUGACAGGUGGUGCAUGGUUGUCGUCAGCUCGUGUCGUGAGAUGUUGGGUUAAGUCCCGCAACGAGCGCAACCCUUAAGCUUAGUCGCCAUCAUUAAGUUGGGCACUCUAAGUUGACUGCCGGUGACAAACCGGAGGAAGGUGGGGAUGACGUCAAAUCAUCAUGCCCCUUAUGAUUUGGGCUACACACGUGCUACAAUGGACAAUACAAAGGGCAGCGAAAUCGCGAGGUCAAGCAAAUCCCAUAAAGUUGUUCUCAGUUCGGAUUGUAGUCUGCAACUCGACUACAUGAAGCUGGAAUCGCUAGUAAUCGUAGAUCAGCAUGCUACGGUGAAUACGUUCCCGGGUCU
rnacentral:rRNA from 1 species